GGGGAUUUAGCUCAGUGGCAUAAGCACCUGCCUGGCAAGCAUGAGGUCAUGAGUUCAAUUCCAGGAAUCCCCC
rnacentral:tRNA from 1 species